rnacentral:tRNA from 2 species
GUGUCCUUAGAUCAACUGGUAGAGCAACGGUCUCCAAAGCCGUAAGAUGCACGUUCGAAUCGUGCAGGGCGCA